rnacentral:tRNA from 1 species
AAGAAUUUAGUUAAAAUAUAACAUUAAUUUGUCAAGUUAAAAUUAUUAAUUUAUUAAUAAUUCUUA